rnacentral:rRNA from 1 species
CGGGCGUGCCUAAUACAUGCAAGUCGAACGCAUUUGUGGUUGAAAUGAUAUGAAGAACUUGUUCAGAUUUGAUUUUCAACAUUGCAAUGAGUGGCGAACGGGUGAGUAACACGUGGGAAACCUACCUCUUAGCAGGGGAUAACAUUUGGAAACAAAUGCUAAUACCGUAUAAUAAUUAAAACCGCAUGGUUUUAGUUUAAAAGAUGGUCUUGCUAUCACUAAGAGAUGGUCCCGCGGUGUAUUAGUUAGUUGGUGAGGUAAUGGCUCACCAAGACAAUGAUACAUAGCCGAGUUGAGAGACUGACCGGCCACAAUGGGACUGAGACACGGCCCAUACUCCUACGGGAGGCAGCAGUAGGGAAUCUUCCACAAUGGACGAAAGUCUGAUGGAGCAACGCCGCGUGUGUGAUGAAGGGUUUCGGCUCGUAAAACACUGUUGUAAGAGAAGAAUGACAUUGAGAGUAACUGUUCAAUGUGUGACGGUAUCUUACCAGAAAGGAACGGCUAAAUACGUG